rnacentral:rRNA from 1 species
GACGAACGCUGGCGGCGUGCUUAACACAUGCAAGUCGAACGGAAAGGCCUGCUUUCCCUUGUGGAUUGCGGGUACUCGAGUGGAGAACGGGUGAGUAACACGUGAGUGAUCUGCCCCCAACUUGGGUAUAAGCCUGGGAAACUGGGUCUAAUUCCCGAUAGGACUGCAGGGUGGUGCCUGUGGUGGAAAACGAUUUUCUAGUGGUUGGGGAUGAGCUCGCGGCCUAUCAGCUUGUUGGUGGGGUAAUGGCCUACCAAGGCGGCGACGGGUAGCCGGCCUGGGAGGGUGGACGGCCACAUUGGGACUGAGAUACGGCCCAGACUCCUACGGGAGGCAGCAGUGGGGAAUAUUGCACAAUGGGCGGAAGCCUGAUGCAGCGACGCCGCGUGGGGGAUGACGGCCUUCGGGUUGUAAACUCCUUUCGACCGCGAGGAAGCCACCUGGUUGGAAGGGUGGUGACGGUAGUGGUAGAAGAAGCACCGGCUAACUACGUG